GUGACAGUGAGAGCCACCAUUUAAAGCCAGACCAACCCUGGUGUGGGCUGAGAUGUCCAAACCUGUUCCCUGCAGGGUGUUGGAACCAGAGCAGGACAUUCUUCAGCUUCUUCAGACUCUUGACUCUUGGGUGUUGUUGGCCCAGCUUUGGGAAGACCUGACUGUGGCCUUCCAGUGCCUGAAGGGGACAACAGGAACGAUGGAGAGAGGCUGUUUCCAAGGCCUGGAGUGACAGGACAAAGGGAAAUGGCUCUCCACUGCCAGAGGCCAGGCUAAGGAGCUGUCUGUGCACGAAUGUGGCUAAAAAAGACACUGCAGAAUACGUAGAAAAUGUGGUGAUGACUCUGGCAGAACAGACCAAGAUGAAUGCCUGGAUAAGGCAGGGAAAAGAUAAGAUUGUUCCACACUA